ensembl:misc_RNA 7SK 7SK RNA
GGAUAUGUGGGUGAUGUAUCUGUAUCUGAUGGCUGCAGUAUCUGUCACUCUAUUGAGUACAAGUGUUGAUUAGGCUUAGCUGGCUAGUUAGGCAGGGUCCCCUUCUUCCCUGGUCACUCUGUAUAUUCCUCUGGAAAAUGCGAACUAGCUUGGUUGAAUAUGAGGAACUUCCCUGAUAAAAGAGGAAUGUAUAUGAGUAACUAUACUUCUCUGCAGAACCUCCAAACAAGUUCCCAGUGUCCAUUUGUAGAAUAUAAAUCAGUCAAGUUUCCAAGACUCCAGACACACUGAAAUGAGAUAUUGCGUGUGGUAGUCUGCUU